ACCGGGCCCCUCUGGCGAGCGCAUGGCGCGCUCGUGAUGUCGGAACGCA
rnacentral:ncRNA from 1 species